UGGGUGUCGAUAAGUCACCAUGGCACACCAUGGUCACCAUGGAAACAAUGCAAACACAGCAUUUCUGAGGAAACAAGUAAAAAAAAAGAACAACAGACAGGGUGAGCAAACUUCCCUGAGAGACAGCAGUGGAGGAAACAGGGAGGAGAUGAGGAAGGCAGGAGGAGGAAGGAACACAUUAACCUCUUACUCGGGGCGUCACUCGAGCUGCCAGCACUAGGCAGCGCUAGCCCUCGUUGGUGGUCUAUAUGCAGCCGCUCCCAGCAUUUCAGUGGGGUUUAUGUAGGAAUUUGAUGGCAGUCAGAUCUGAGACACACAAAACAGUUAUGUGGCAGGGGUGUGGUCUCUGGCGUGUUGCAGUGGAGGGGCGUUACAGUGGGGACGGAGAGGAGGAGAAGGAAGCAGCUGCUCCUGUGCGACUGGUGCCAGAACAUCAAAAUACAGUUCCUUAAGCGAAAAUAA